AUGCUGAGCCCCCCCCCUCUGCGGCGCGCCAGUCUGCCCCUGAUCACCUCGUACCUCCCGGCCAACCACCUGACGCCCCUCCUUGUGGACGCGGGGGAAGGCGGCUCCGCGGCGCCCCACCUCGACGGCGCCGCCCGGGAGGGGCAGCCGUUCGCCCAGCAGAGUGAAAACGCGGGCUCCUCCGGCUCUCUGUUCGACUACGGGGACGUGAUGGGGACGGCCGUGAAAGUGGACGCCCAGCACUACCUUCACACCGGCCACCAGGGCGGCGCUCUCUCCUACCAGCUCAGCUCCUACCCUCAGCAGCACAGCUCCAUCCUGCCCUCCUCGCACCUGGCCCAGUACUCCCGCUUCUCGUACCUGCCCCCCUCCUCCGGCCUGACGGCCGCCCCAUCGGACGGCAACCCCGCAUCCUACCUGACGUUUGGGGCUGCCGCUGCUGGCGGUGUGAUGACCUACACCGCGGGGGGGCACACCUACUUCCAGUCCCAGAGCGGCAACCCGAUCCUGCUGCAGACCGGGGUGCAGGCAUACCAGCCGUGUCCCUGGGGCGACGUGUACGGGCAGCCCGGCCAGUAUCCCUCCGCGGUGUACCAUCGACCUCAGUACCCCGGCCUGGGCAGGGACGUGAGCUUACACCCACCUGGCGCUGCUCUCGGGCUGCUGCCUGCCCAGCACUGCAUUCCACUGCAGAGGGCGCCGGGGCCACCGACCGCGACCGUCUUCGCGACUUCCCAGCGGCCCGCGGUCGGAGCAGCGAGCGCUUUCCAGACCCCCGACAGCUCUGCAUUGCGCCCCCAGUACGAGAACCCCGAGAGGGCGGAGCAAACGGAGAGCGGCGAAGCGGAAGCGGCCCAGGACCUGGCGCCGGCCGGGGGGAAGCUCGGGUACGAGCCGGAGGCGGAGAGCGCCCGGAACCCGCUUCCCGAGAGCCGAUCUGCCGAGUCCGACGGCGCCUUCGACUGCGAUUUCUCGCCGAUUCAGUUCUGA
rnacentral:lncRNA from 1 species